rnacentral:lncRNA from 1 species
GUAAAGGGAAGCAGCCACAGAGUUCAGAAGAUUCCUCAGAAAAAUGAAAGUAUCCCCCUUGUUGAAGUUGUGCUAAAUCCAAUCAUCUUGAGAGUAAGUGUUAGAAGCAUGUACAAUGCAAGAUUAACAAAAUGCAUGGUCACUCAAAGAAGUUAUGUUAAAAAAGGAAAAAUCAAUCAUCACAGCAAAAGAAUGAGCCUCAACAACAACAACAACCACGUCAGCAACAGGAAGUCUAUUUUGCUGAGAACCAUGAACAGCAGGAAGUUAUCUUUUCAUGAUGAUUGAGGCAUCUUGUG